rnacentral:rRNA from 1 species
AUGACUUCUGUGCUUGCACAGAAUGAUUAGUGGCGAACGGGUGAGUAACACGUGAGUAACCUGCCCUUAACUUCGGGAUAAGCCUGGGAAACCGGGUCUAAUACCGGAUACGACCUCCUGGCGCAUGCCAUGGUGGUGGAAAGCUUUAGCGGUUUUGGAUGGACUCGCGGCCUAUCAGCUUGUUGGUUGGGGUAAUGGCCCACCAAGGCGACGACGGGUAGCCGGCCUGAGAGGGUGACCGGCCACACUGGGACUGAGACACGGCCCAGACUCCUACGGGAGGCAGCAGUGGGGAAUAUUGCACAAUGGGCGAAAGCCUGAUGCAGCGACGCCGCGUGAGGGAUGACGGCCUUCGGGUUGUAAACCUCUUUCAGCAGGGAAGAAGCGAAAGUGACGGUACCUGCAGAAGAAGCGCCGGCUAACUACGUGCCAGCAGCCGCGGUAAUACGUAGGGCGCAAGCGUUAUCCGGAAUUAUUGGGCGUAAAGAGCUCGUAGGCGGUUUGUCGCGUCUGCUGUGAAAGCCCGGGGCUCAACCCCGGGUCUGCAGUGGGUACGGGCAGACUAGAGUGCAGUAGGGGAGACUGGAAUUCCUGGUGUAGCGGUGAAAUGCGCAGAUAUCAGGAGGAACACCGAUGGCGAAGGCAGGUCUCUGGGCUGUAACUGACGCUGAGGAGCGAAAGCAUGGGGAGCGAACAGGAUUAGAUACCCUGGUAGUCCAUGCCGUAAACGUUGGGCACUAGGUGUGGGGGACAUUCCACGUUUUCCGCGCCGUAGCUAACGCAUUAAGUGCCCCGCCUGGGGAGUACGGCCGCAAGGCUAAAACUCAAAGGAAUUGACGGGGGCCCGCACAAGCGGCGGAGCAUGCGGAUUAAUUCGAUGCAACGCGAAGAACCUUACCAAGGCUUGACAUGAACCGGUAAGACCUGGAAACAGGUCCCCCACUUGUGGCCGGUUUACAGGUGGUGCAUGG